rnacentral:rRNA from 1 species
GGCGGCAGGCUUAACACAUGCAAGUCGAGCGGGCGUAGCAAUACGUCAGCGGCAGACGGGUGAGUAACGCGUGGGAACGUACCUUUUGGUUCGGAACAACACAGGGAAACUUGUGCUAAUACCGGAUAAGCCCUUACGGGGAAAGAUUUAUCGCCGAAAGAUCGGCCCGCGUCUGAUUAGCUAGUUGGUGUGGUAACGGCGCACCAAGGCGACGAUCAGUAGCUGGUCUGAGAGGAUGAUCAGCCACAUUGGGACUGAGACACGGCCCAAACUCCUACGGGAGGCAGCAGUGGGGAAUAUUGGACAAUGGGCGCAAGCCUGAUCCAGCCAUGCCGCGUGAGUGAUGAAGGCCCUAGGGUUGUAAAGCUCUUUUGUGCGGGAAGAUAAUGACGGUACCGCAAGAAUAAGCCCCGGCUAACUUCGUGCCAGCAGCCGCGGUAAUACGAAGGGGGCUAGCGUUGCUCGGAAUCACUGGGCGUAAAGGGUGCGU